rnacentral:rRNA from 1 species
GACGGGGCCGCACAAGCGGUGGAGCAUGUGGUUAAUUCGAAGCAACGCGAAGAACCUUACCAGGUCUUGACAUCCCGAUGCUAUUUCUAGAGAUAGAAAGUUACUUCGGUACAUCGGUGACAGGUGGUGCAUGGUUGUCGUCAGCUCGUGUCGUGAGAUGUUGGGUUAAGUCCCGCAACGAGCGCAACCCUUGUCUUUAAUUGCCAUCAUUCAGUUGGGCACUUUAAAGAGACUGCCGGUGUUAAACCGGAGGAAGGUGGGAUGACGUCAAGUCCUCAUGGCCUUUAUGCCCAGGGCUACACACGUGCUACAAUGGGUGGUACAAAGAGAUGCAAUCUCGCAAGAGCAAGCAAACCUCAAAAAGCCAUCCUCAGUUCGGAUUGGAGUCUGCAACUCGACUCCAUGAAGUCGGAAUCGCUAGUAAUCGCGGAUCAGCACGCCCGCGGUCGAAUACGUUCCCGGGCCUU